GACGAACGCUGGCGGCGUGCUUCAGACAUGCAAGUCGAGCGGGCGGAGGUCGAACCGCAAGGGGAGGCUGAAGCUAGCGGCGAACGGGUGAGUAACACGUGGGUAAUCUACCCGGAAGACUGGGAUAACGGCCCGAAAGGGCCGCUAAUACCGGAUAAUAUCGCGGUCUCGCAUGAGGCUGCGAAGAAAGGCGAAAGCCACUUUCGGAUGAGCCCGCGACCCAUCAGCUAGUUGGUGAGGUAACGGCUCACCAAGGCGACGACGGGUAGCCGGUCUGAGAGGAUGGUCGGCCACACUGGGACUGAGAUACGGCCCAGACUCCUACGGGAGGCAGCAGUCGGGAAUAUUGGGCAAUGGGCGAAAGCCUGACCCAGCGACGCCGCGUGAGGGAAGAAGGCCUUCGGGUCGUAAACCUCUGUCAUCGGGGACGAAGGAAGUGACGGUACCCGAGGAGGAAGCCCCUGCUAACUACGUG
rnacentral:rRNA from 1 species